CACUGCAGGUUACUGCUGCUAAAGCAUGUUCUACAAGCUGCUGAAUCCGGUGGUGGACUUGUACACAAAACUGUAGAUACAGAUGUAUUUCUAACCAAGGGGCUGAGUGAAUAUAUUGUAUAUUGUGAAUAACUUCUCUAUGAUGUUUUUAAACAGUUUGGCUGAGAUGGGAAAAAAACUUUGUGAGGCAAAUAUGGUGGUGAAACGUCAUGAGGAGGAACUGAAUUCAGUCAAAGAGAGUUUGACGGAGGUGAACACAUUUUACCAAUUGAGCCUCAGAAAAGCAGGUUUGGCUGCAAUGGAACAGUUUUAUAAAGAGAAACUCCAAGAAGAAAGGUAAACACAUUUCAAUGCAUAAAAGACUUAAAAAUGUUUCAAAUCCACAUCCAGGCUGUGGUGACAGUCAACUUUUAUUAUUUUAUUUAUGAUUUUAUUAACAGACAACAAUCUUGGCACAGAGAUACAUUAACGUAAUACCUUAAUGUUAGAGCACGACAAUGUGUCGUAUCUAGGUAUUCAUGUUCAUAACUUAUUAUU